rnacentral:lncRNA from 1 species
CUAGAAUCAAAUAACAUCAAUAUAUUAAUAAACCAUAAAAUACAUUAAAGUAAAUUAUCAUUAGUCUCAAAAACUUAAUUUAAACACAAAACAUCAGUAUUAUAGUUAGUCUUAAAACUAACUUUAAAUAGAACAUCUACUACAACUAUAAUGGACAAAAGAUCUACCAUGACCAUUCAAUCGAGUACGAUACAUUUGCAAGCAACUUCAAUGAUUGUCGUUAGCAUUAUUUCCACCAGACGAUCUUCUUACAUCCAUGGGUGAAAUGGAUCUGCUAGCCACAUCACUUGGCUAAAAAAAAUAAAAUAAAAUAUAAUUAACGAAAAGUACCUCAACAAUAUCAUAAUUAAUAAUCAUUUAGCUUCAGUCAAAUAUCAGUAACUUCUAUGAUCCGAAUACAUAGUACAUUAAUGACCAAAGCCAUCAUUCACUCUUUAUCAAACUCUCUUAGCUUCUUCUAAUAUCCCAUAAUUCAUUAAUUUUCUACUGGCCCAAAUUAAAUUAAAACUUGAAAUGAGUUUGCAGGAGUUCAGGAAAUGGCUAAAGAGAUUUGACAUAGACAGAGAUGGGAAGAUAAGCAAAGAAGAACUCCGAGACGCUAUCCGAGCCAAUAGCAGCUGGUUCAGCAGGCUAAAAAGCAUCCACGGUAUAAAAAUUGCAGACGCUAAUGGCGAUGAAUUUAUUCAUGAGAAGGAAUUCAGAAACCUUACUGAAUUUGCACAGAGGAAUUUAGGUGUUAGAAUUAUCUAAGAAAAAUAUAUGAGCUUCUAGCUCUAAUAUGGAGUAUAAUACUAAUAUAAUGUUGUAUGUGGGUACAGAAAUACUUAGAUAUACUAAAUCAUUCUUAUUUGUAUGCUACUUCGCUAUUUCUUCCUUCCUAUAUACUGUAGAUAUACAUGCAUUCCUUCUCAUGUGCUAUAUGUAUGCAAAAUAUGGUGUGUUGUAUGCUCCAUAUAUCUAUCCUAGCUCAAGAAUCUAAAGCUCAAAACUUUAAAUCAAAACCUCACAAAAAUUUAAUAUUUGGAGAGAGCGGCUGCUAAGCACAAGCUGAAAGUGAAAAAAAAAGAACACUGCCAACAAAAUGAGAAUGCAUGUCUAGAUAUAGGAGUGAAGAAAGAGAAAAAAAGAGUCAAACACCACAUAGCACAAAAGUUUUCUUCUUUCUCAAUUCAGAGUCACAUUUGGACUGAUCAAUCACACUUUCAAAAUUAAAUAAGAAAGUUAUGAACUUUUCUUACUGUUGAAUGAGGAGGAGAAACAAAGAUCCCUGCAAAUUCUUCGGGUAUCCUCCCUUCUUUCAUUAUCAUAUACGCCUUAAAAGCAUUCAUGGGUAUUAACAUUCAUCAUUUCUAUGUAGUUCUCUUGGCUUUGAUUGUGAGCAUUCAAUAUUUGAUUUACUUCUCUUGGCAUUGGGAAGAACAUGAACCGUUAUUAUAACUUGAAGCAUUCAAAUUACUAUACCGAGGUCUUGUUUGUUUAAAAGCUCUGCCAGGAACAACUCCUAAUCCCAAGCACUUUACCCUUCCAGAGUGCUCUUUUUCCAGCAUCUUACCAACGGCAUCAUUUGGCAAAAAUUUCAGACUCAUCCACGGUGCUUUGGCUCAAUGCUAGUUUAAUUUUUUUCUAAAUACAUUACACACCAAAAGUCAGUGUCCUACUUUCAAUCAGUGAUUGAUAAGUUAUUAAAAAGAAAAAUAAGAGAAGAAGAAUAUCUUUUUCUUUUAUAUCAAUUACAACAGCAAAUUUAUCAUACUUACCAACUUCUCAUAACUAAACUCUUAAAUUAGCAACAGAUAAGAUGUUUAUUGGAAAUUUUAACUCAUUUCAGUAGAGUGGAGGCAAACUUAUCAACAAGGAAGAGGCCCUACUCAGGUUCUAUUUUACUAAAUCACAUACUUAUAUGUUCAUAACAUUACAUGUAGAGCUUUUCGGAAGAAAAUCACUAGCACAAAAAUAAUAGACCCAAAGUUUAAGAGCUAUAUUACCUUAAAUUGGAAAAAUCUGCACCCAAUAAGCUAUAUUGCCUAUCCAGUUUGUUAGUAGUCAGUUCUGAAGGGCAGACAUCAUUUUGUUUUUUCAGCAAAACAUAGCAAGUGAACUACUUGGUAAAGUACCUAUCUACCUGGAACCUACAUAAAUGUCUUGUUUCUUCCCCAGAUGGAAAUCGGAUUUUGGUUCAUUGGUUCAAUAAUAAGUUAAAAUACAACCAUAUUAUGACAUGUCUUUUGUCAACAAUAAUUGUAUUCUUGUAUAAUCAUGAAUUAGUGUGUAACAACAAUCUACCUGUAUGCUAGUCAUGUAUAAACAAUGUAUAUUGUAAGGCAACUUUAUUUCCUUGUUUAACCAUUCGGUAUCCGAAGUCUACUAGCCCGACUAACACGGGAUUCGCGUCAGGUAGACCCAAUAAAGGGGUGAAUGGAUCUGUACCUAAAAGCUAUGGAUCCGACUAAUACCAGUAACUCAUCAUUUAUUCACUCAAUCUUGGUAACCAUUUUUUCUUAAAAUAUAAAGAAUAUAUCACAUAAUAACAUCAUCGAAGCCAUUAUUUGACGAAAUUUCCUUUCUUCACCUAAAUAUUCAGAUGUGGCUUCAUAAUAAGGGAAAAAUUAUGACCUGGACAGACAAAUUACAUCAAAUUAUGAAUCUCCGUCUUCCAUCAAAUUAUAACUAGUAAAGUCAACAUUUCCCCUGGAGUGAACAUUUCCCUUUCUGACUCUUGGCAUAAAUGGAUCAAUCGAAAUCAAAAACCACUUCAAUAAUAAAAAGGAUCUUGCAAAUACCAACUACCGAGUGCAUAAUGCUUACAGAAAAAAGAAGAAAAUAUACAAACUAAACUAUCAAAGAUAAAUAAUAAAUUAAUUAUAAAAGGCUCCUCAUUGGGUAGUUAGUAACCUGGGAUAGGAGGAAUAGGAGGUGCUCCAGAAAUCACUAAGGUGACUAGAGUUUAGGCUACUAUAUGAUACUUCCUGUCAAAAUUAGCAUAUUUGCAGAAUAAACAGCUCUACAGAUGCGACUAAGAUAGCAAUUCAAAAGAAACUACAACCACUUGAAAUCAACACUGGCUCAAAUGCAGUAGUUACUGCACUUCAAAUAGGUAAUGUUCAUUUUCUGCCGGUUGGAAAGUAGUACUAUAGUUUUUGUACUCUUAUCCAAAAGAAGAUAUAUUUUUGUGACUCCAAUAUUAUUAAACAGAAAAACAAAAAAUGUACCUUGAGACUGAUUCAAACACAACGCAAAGCAGAAAGAGGAAAAGCAGCCAAUGACAAUUACAUCUUCUCUGAAGGUCCCCAGGAGUUCUAAAAUACACAUGCAAAAGAAAAUAUUUUAAUUAAGACCCAAAUCACAGAAAUAACCUACAAAAUACACAAAAAAUCUAAAUUUUAGAACAUAUAAUAACUAAUGCAAAAGGAGAAAGAGGACUUACAUCUCGAUUUUAAUAAAGAGUGUUAUAGCCUUCUUCAAAAUACACCGAUUCUACCAAAUUUCUGCUACUUUCUGUUGAGAAUCGAAAAACAUCAAGAUGAAAGAAAGAGAAAAAAAAUCAGUAAAGGAAAAACAUAAAUUAACAGAUAAAAUGAACCUAAAAGCGAUAUGCAUGAAGAAAGAAAGACAAAAAAGUAAAAUCAAAGAAUGAAAGAGGAAAAUCAAAGCAAAAUCGAAGAGGAAUUUGUAUGAAAGAGCGAAAUCAAAUAAACUUACAUCAAAUUAAAGGUUUUGUGUUAGAGUGGGCCGCUCAUUUUCAUCCCUUGCCUGGUAGGUCUGUUAAGGAUUUGAUUAGAGGGGGCGAGGGUUUCUGAAAAUGAAGCGAGGGGGAGAGAGAAGGGUAGCUGAAAAUGAGAAAGGGUUUUGGGAAAAAAAGAGAGGGAAAGGAUUAAAAAACGGGGAAAACAUUGGGGUUAGU